GACUCCUCCUGGACAAUCAGUAACACAAAAUCUCCUGCAGUAGCACAAUAUUUGGCACAUGCCAGGCAUUCAGUAAGUCCUUGUUGGAAGGUAUUUUAGGAUUCACAUAAAGUGCUAUGAAUUCAUUUGGCCUCAUCCAGGAUCAUGAUGUUUCCCCGUAAGUACUCACAAUGAGCCAGAGACUAGGAGGACCCAGGACAGUCAGGAUUUAACCCUGAACAGUGUGAUCUCAAAGCCGUCACCCAAAACCACAUUCUAAAACAAGGAGAAAUGUGCACAGGAGUAUGGAACUGAACAAGCAUAACAAAAGAAUUAAUCCCUCAAAAAGUUGAAGUGAAAUAUGCUUAAUCCUUCAUCCACAAGUCAGAAACACACAUCUAGACACACCCAUCAUCCGCUGCAAUCAAAAGAAAAAGACAACUGACAAAACAGACUCACUGCUUGGGGCAGAUGAUAUAACAUUAGCAAACAACAAAGAGAAAGUCAUAUAUCUCAACUCUUGUUGUAUUUCCAUCUUCUUUAUCAAGGAGAAAGAUCUUUAAACUCAGGAGAGUUGAAUAAAUGUAGUUUAGAAGGAAUUGAAGUAUGAGAUAGGUAAGGUGAUAGCAGGAGACGGUCUCGCUGUUUUAAAUGAGUUCAACACUCCAGGCCUAAACAAAUUACAUCCUAGAGUAUAAGGAGACUGUGCAGAUGCAAUCUGAGAAUCAUUGUCAGUAAUCUUUAAGGAAUCAUGGAGAACAUGAAAGGUGCUGGGAUAGUGGAGCUGGAAAAAGAGCAUUCUAAUUUUUCAACAUGAGGAAGAAGAUUCAUUCCAUGAUCUACAGAUCUGCAAGCUUCAGUUUGAAUCCUGCUGCUGCAACCUUGGGUCCUUGAAGAUCUCUGAGACCAAGAGGCUCAUGGCUACUGUUCAGGCUGCCACUCAGUGUUCACUGGGAGUUCUCUAGAGACAAAGGCCUAAGAAUGGAUCAGAUGAGCCAAGGAGAAAGAGAACUCUUGACACCCCAAACCCCAAGCUCCCCCUUGUAUGCACAUUUCUUGCCUGGGCAGAAAAACUGGCAUUUGAACUAAAAAAUGAAAAUAGGCUAGGAGACAAAACAGGAAGCUGUAUAUGAUCCACAAGGGAUGAACAAAAGAAAAUAUAUACUGGACAAUUAUGUGCUUAAUAGAUUAGAUGAUGACCAGCUAAGGAGCUUAAAUCAUGUCUAUUGUUACCUCCUUUGAGCAGUGGAAAUCACAGGAAGAAUACUACCAAGACAACUGAAAUGUUCACGCAUCCUGCACUAAACAUAUUCCUUAAGAAAAGAGCUUAAGACUGCUCCUGCUGCUAAUUGCUACAGGUUUUUGUAACCUUGAAAGAACUGUCUUAUCUACUAGUUUAAACUAGUGAGUUAUCAGGAUUUAUAGAAUCCCUGCAGUUUGCAGGGUUUAUCAUGUAUUAGAAUGCAAAAGAAUUAAAAUAUUGGCCUCUUUGCUCAAAAGGGGUUACUGUAUGUGGUAGAAACUGGACAAAAAAAAACUUACAAAGCAUAUAAGAAAACUAUGUGAAAACCAAUGUGAUCUCUCAUAUAAAUAGAUGGGGCUAUAUAUGUCACUUCACUGGAAUUUCACCCCCAUUAUUAAAAUGAAACAGAAUAAAAUGCUUUCAGCUCUU